rnacentral:tmRNA from 1 species
GGGGGUGAUGGGUUUCGAUAGAAUUUUAAAAUUAAAUAUGCAGGCCGAGGAUAUCUCGUAACCUCGUAAUUUAAUCCCCGAGAUAAGGCAAAUAACUGCCAAAACAAAUUUAACUCCUGCUUUCGCUUUUGCUUAAGCAGCAUCGGCCGCCUAACGUCCAAUAGGGCGAUACCGGUGUCAACCAUUGGGCUUUAACCCGUGAAAUUCUUCGGCCCGGGUGGAAAUUAAGAAGAAACAGAAGAUUUCUUAUUUUGAUUGUUUCAAGAGAAUUUUCUGAAAAAUUAAGCAAUCUACGCCUGUAGAAGUAUUUAAUUACAAGAUUCUAGAUGCGAGUUCAACUCUCGCCAUCUCCACUU